rnacentral:rRNA from 1 species
UACGUAGGCAGCAAGCGUUGUUCGGAAUUACUGGGCGUAAAGAGUGUGUAGGCGGUGCUCUAAGUUCGGUGUGAAAUCUCCCCGGCUUAACUGGGAGGGUGCGCCGGAAACUGGAGUGCUCGAGCGUGGGAGAGGAAAGCGGAAUUCCUGGUGUAGCGGUGAAAUGCGUAGAUAUCAGGAGGAACACCGGUGGUGUAGACGGCUUUCUGGACCAUAGCUGACGCUGAGACACGAAAGCGUGGGUAGCAAACAGG